AAGGUUAAGCCUCACGGUUCAUUAGUACCGGUUAGCUCAACGCAUCGCUGCGCUUACACACCCGGCCUAUCAACGUCGUCGUCUUCAACGUUCCUUCAGGACCCUUAAAGGGUCAGGGAGAACUCAUCUCGGGGCAAGUUUCGUGCUUAGAUGCUUUCAGCACUUAUCUCUUCCGCAUUUAGCUACCGGGCAGUGCCAUUGGCAUGACAACCCGAACACCAGUGAUGCGUCCACUCCGGUCCUCUCGUACUAGGAGCAGCCCCCCUCAGUUCUCCAGCGCCCACGGCAGAUAGGGACCGAACUGUCUCACGACGUUCUAAACCCAGCUCGCGUACCACUUUAAAUGGCGAACAGCCAUACCCUUGGGACCUACUUCAGCCCCAGGAUGUGAUGAGCCGACAUCGAGGUGCCAAACACCGCCGUCGAUAUGAACUCUUGGGCGGUAUCAGCCUGUUAUCCCCGGAGUACCUUUUAUCCGUUGAGCGAUGGCCCUUCCAUUCAGAACCACCGGAUCACUAUGACCUGCUUUCGCACCUACUCGCGCCGUCACGCUCGCAGUCAAGCUGGCUUAUGCCAUUGCACUAACCUCCUGAUGUCCGACCAGGAUUAGCCAACCUUCGUGCUCCUCCGUUACUCUUUAGGAGGAGACCGCCCCAGUCAAACUACCCACCAGACACUGUCCGCAACCCGGAUCACGGGUCCACGUUAGAACAUCAAACAUUAAAGGGUGGUAUUUCAAGGUCGGCUCCAUGCAGACUGGCGUCCACACUUCAAAGCCUCCCACCUAUCCUACACAUCAAGGCUCAAUGUUCAGUGUCAAGCUAUAGUAAAGGUUCACGGGGUCUUUCCGUCUUGCCGCGGGUACACUGCAUCUUCACAGCGAGUUCAAUUUCACUGAGUCUCGGGUGGAGACAGCCUGGCCAUCAUUACGCCAUUCGUGCAGGUCGGAACUUACCCGACAAGGAAUUUCGCUACCUUAGGACCGUUAUAGUUACGGCCGCCGUUUACCGGGGCUUCGAUCAAGAGCUUCGCUUGCGCUAACCCCAUCAAUUAACCUUCCGGCACCGGGCAGGCGUCACACCGUAUACGUCCACUUUCGUGUUUGCACAGUGCUGUGUUUUUAAUAAACAGUUGCAGCCAGCUGGUAUCUUCGACUGAUUUCAGCUCCACGAGCAAGUCGCUUCACCUACGUAUCAGCGUGCCUUCUCCCGAAGUUACGGCACCAUUUUGCCUAGUUCCUUCACCCGAGUUCUCUCAAGCGCCUUGGUAUUCUCUACCUGACCACCUGUGUCGGUUUGGGGUACGAUUUGAUGUUACCUGAUGCUUAGAGGCUUUUCCUGGAAGCAGGGCAUUUGUUGCUUCAGCACCGUAGUGCCUCGUCAUCACGCCUCGGCCUUGAUUUUCCGGAUUUGCCUGGAAAACCAGCCUACACGCUUAAACCGGGACAACCGUCGCCCGGCCAACAUAGCCUUCUCCGUCCCCCCUUCGCAGUAACACCAAGUACAGGAAUAUUAACCUGUUUCCCAUCGACUACGCCUUUCGGCCUCGCCUUAGGGGUCGACUCACCCUGCCCCGAUUAACGUUGGACAGGAACCCUUGGUCUUCCGGCGAGCGGGCUUUUCACCCGCUUUAUCGUUACUUAUGUCAGCAUUCGCACUUCUGAUACCUCCAGCAUACCUCACAGCACACCUUCACAGGCUUACAGAACGCUCCCCUACCCAACAACGCAUAAGCGUCGCUGCCGCAGCUUCGGUGCAUGGUUUAGCCCCGUUACAUCUUCCGCGCAGGCCGACUCGACCAGUGAGCUAUUACGCUUUCUUUAAAUGAUGGCUGCUUCUAAGCCAACAUCCUGGCUGUCUGGGCCUUCCCACAUCGUUUCCCACUUAACCAUGACUUUGGGACCUUAGCUGGCGGUCUGGGUUGUUUCCCUCUUCACGACGGACGUUAGCACCCGCCGUGUGUCUCCCGUAAUAACAUUCUCCGGUAUUCGCAGUUUGCAUCGGGUUGGUAAGUCGGGAUGACCCCCUUGCCGAAACAGUGCUCUACCCCCGGAGAUGAAUUCACGAGGCGCUACCUAAAUAGCUUUCGGGGAGAACCAGCUAUCCCCCGGUUUGAUUGGCCUUUCACCCCCAGCCACAAGUCAUCCGCUAAUUUUUCAACAUUAGUCGGUUCGGUCCUCCAGUUAGUGUUACCCAACCUUCAACCUGCCCAUGGCUAGAUCACCGGGUUUCGGGUCUAUACCCUGCAACUUAACGCCCAGUUAAGACUCGGUUUCCCUUCGGCUCCCCUAUUCGGUUAACCUUGCUACAGAAUAUAAGUCGCUGACCCAUUAUACAAAAGGUACGCAGUCACACGCCUAAGCGUGCUCCCACUGCUUGUACGUACACGGUUUCAGGUUCUUUUUCACUCCCCUCGCCGGGGUUCUUUUCGCCUUUCCCUCACGGUACUGGUUCACUAUCGGUCAGUCAGGAGUAUUUAGCCUUGGAGGAUGGUCCCCCCAUAUUCAGACAGGAUACCACGUGUCCCGCCCUACUCAUCGAGCUCACAGUAUGUGCAUUUUUGUGUACGGGGCUGUCACCCUGUAUCGCACGCCUUUCCAGACGCUUCCACUAACACACACACUGAUUCAGGCUCUGGGCUGCUCCCCGUUCGCUCGCCGCUACUGGGGGAAUCUCGGUUGAUUUCUUUUCCUCGGGGUACUUAGAUGUUUCAGUUCCCCCGGUUCGCCUCAUUAACCUAUGGAUUCAGUUAAUGAUAGUGUGACGAAUCACACUGGGUUUCCCCAUUCGGAAAUCGCCGGUUAUAACGGUUCAUAUCACCUUACCGACGCUUAUCGCAGAUUAGCACGUCCUUCAUCGCCUCUGACUGCCAGGGCAUCCACCGUGUACGCUUAGUCGCUUAA
rnacentral:rRNA from 1 species